CAAACGGGGCGAGCCAAUCCGAGGAAAAUCUAUAAAUCCUGACUGUUGAUUUCUCAGGGCCGGGAGGUGUAGGCCGGUGAUAAGCGGAGCCAGGAAGCCUGCCCCCGGGGGGGGGAGUCCGCCAUGAUGAACGCACAGAGAUGGAGUCGCAUGCCAAACGGAGCAGUGGCGACCAGCGCUAAGCUUUUAAUAUGGCCGGGCUGGCCUUCGCCUCCGAGGACCGAAACACACGCGGGCGUGGGCGGGGAGGAGCUGGGUGUCCCACAGGAGCCAGGGAGGGGGUGACCUCACCCCGCUCAGCGAACCUUGCUCGGCACAUGAAUACCUUCAUCGAUACGGGGUCAUGUAAGCCGUGUAACCCCAGCACCUCCCUCCACUCCUCACCAUCUCAAGCCCGGGCUCCCUAAUCUACCUGUGUGACUUUUACAGAUUGGAAUCAGAAGACAGGAGGGGAGCCAGACUGGCCAUGAUUCUCCCCCGCCCCAGCGGACCAUUAUUGGCAGGUUUUAGGUGGGGGGGGGGGGGGAAUGCAUUUCUGCAGAUGACCGUGAGGCAAGGAAAGAUUGAAUUCCCUUUCUGCUUUGGUCUGUGUGUGUACGUUUGGGGGUGUGGUGGUUGGGGUUGUCUUGGAGAAAUAGGCAGUGAUAGAUGAGGUACAUAGAGCAAGACAGCUACUGCUGCUCACCAGCCAGGCUGCAUCAGGAAGCUGUCUGCAAACUGAGAGUCUCUCUCUCUCUCUCUCUCUCUCUCUCUCUCUCUCUCUCUCUCUCUCUCUCUCUCUCUCUCUCUCUCUCUCUCUCUCUCUCUCUCUCUCUCUCUCUCUCUCUCUCUCU